ACUUUGUUAUGGUUGUCUAGCCUUUUUGAGCUAAAAAGGGAGCAAUAGCUUCCCUCUUGUUCUAUCAAGAGGGUGUUAUUGUUCCUUUUUUUUUUUUUUUUCCCAAAUUUUUAAAUAAAAAAAAAAAAAGACGUUUUGCAAAAAAAUAAUUUUCUUAUUUUCCCCCAAGAAUUAGGGGGCUUGGGAGCCCCAUUUAAAAAAGGAAAAAAAUUUUUUUUGGGUGGKYYMCCCCUUUUUKAGGUAAAAARGGRGCCAAAGSUYCCCUUYUUUUUUUUCAAAAGGGGGGGKUWUUUUUCCCUUUUUUUUUUUUUUUCGCAAAGUAUUAAAUCAAAAAUAAAUAAUAUGCCAUUUAAUGUUUAUUUAAUGGUAAUUAAUAAAUCUAAAUGGAGAAAUCUAGUAAUAGUCCAUAGGUAUGAUAGGUAAUCAUAGGUAAUCGUAGGUAAUCAUAGGUAAUCGUAGAUAUUAGUGUAGAUAUUAUAUUAGUAUAGUAGAUAAUAGUAGAUAUUCUAAUAGUAGAUAUU
rnacentral:misc_RNA from 1 species